rnacentral:rRNA from 1 species
CCUACGGGAGGCAGCAGUGAGGCAUAUUGGUCAAUGGGCGCGAGCCUGAACCAGCCAAGUAGCGUGAAGGAUGACUGCCCUACGGGUUGUAAACUUCUUUUAUAUGGGAAUAAAAUGUUCCACGUGUGGGAUUUUGUAUGUACCAUAUGAAUAAGGAUCGGCUAAUUCCGUGCCAGCAGCCGCGGUAAUACGGAAGGUCCGGGCGUUAUCCGGAUUUAUUGGGUUUAAAGGGAGCGUAGGCCGGCUUUUAAGUCAGCUGUGAAAGUCCGCGGCUCAACCGUGGAAUUGCAGUUGAAACUGGAGGCCUUGAGUGCACACAGGGAUGCCGGAAUUCAUGGUGUAGCGGUGAAAUGCUUAGAUAUCAUGAAGAACUCCGAUCGCGAAGGCAAGUGUCCGGGGUGCAACUGACGCUGAGGCUCGAAAGUGCGGGUAUCAAACAGGAUUAGAUACCCUAGUAGUC